UGUGACGAUUGUGACGUCUGAGGCUGAGCUUGCCUGUCUAGGACGUCUAAGUUUUGUUGUGUGUAUGGUAGAGGAGUUGUACAGUUUUGCCUCUGAAAUACAGUAGUAUUGACAUUAAAAUGCGAGAUGCUGAUGCAAUGGGGAACCUGGUAUUGGAGUUAGAAACACUAAAAGAAAUGCGAAUUGAUAUGGACCGCUGUUUAGAGAUGAUGCAGUUUAUUCGUAAAGACCUUGAAACAAUGGCAGAAAAUUUGGAGACGUUAGAAGCUUUGAACAAGGAUUGGUGUCAUUUACAAAAAAAAAGGAGAAUAAAAAAUAAGGAGACCGAUGUGCAGAAACAGUGACAGAAUAUGAAUUAUUUAUGAAAAGUAUAUUUUUCUGUAAUGUAUAUUGUUCUUUAACCUUUACUGACCAUGUGUUGCAUUACUAUGAUCUAUCUCAACAAGCAAUGCAUUUUUUCAAUACUGAUACCCUUAUGUCAGAGUUGAAGUCCAGCUGCCAGCCCUGUAAUACCAUAUUUAAAAAUCCCCUAUUUCCAGGUGGUGAACUGUUACUCAAGUUCAACUCUAGCUGCCAACCCAACAGUACUGAUAUAUUUAAAAUUCCAUAUUCCUGGAUGAUAAAAGUUAAUUGUAUCUGACAGCCCUUGAGCCGUGUUACGGUCUGGAUGGCUGGGUUCAAUUUCUGGUAGUAUGGGUAUGGAAAAUUUUGUAAUCAUGUUACCCAAGAGAGUUGCAAGUCCUCUUAUGUUCUGUUUACUGCCACUGACCACUCUUCUCGCUUUGGUGUCGGUGUCUGAAAAUGUGGAGUCUAUUACAGCAUGAUGCUAUUAAAAGUUGUUUAUAUUUCUGAGAAUGUUGUUUUCAGUUUCUUUACAAAAGCAACAUUUCAUGUUUGAGCCUCUGGUAUGCAUUGUUAUUUUCCUGAAAAUAUGACUUAUGCAGGGAGAUUACCUCCAUAAACUACUGAAAUUUAUUUAGGACUAUCAGAGCUAUUUUUGAGGAAAUCAACAUUUUGUUUAUUUGGGUACACUUUAAGGGCCCCUGUUUUUAAAGCAAGAAUGCUCAUAUUCACCAGGCACCAGUGUAUGACAGAUUCUUAAACAAUGAAUAUGAAAUCUGUCAAACAAUUCAGGUGAUAGUGAGGCACACAAGAACAGAGUUUUCUUAAUGAGGGGCUAAAAAUGUCCAAAUCCAUCAAAAUCUCAAGAAUGACCUGUUUCCUGAUCACAGUACUUUCCUAUAUAUACUACAUAUAUGAGGAAGUAAAAAUCCCUGCCAGGGAUCACACACUGUCACCAGUCACUUUACUGACAGGUGUUUCUAGUGCUCAUAACUGACAGGACUGCCAAAUUUAAGUCAUUUAUGAAGUUAAAUUUACAGUCUUCUUUCAUGUAUUUCAUUAACCAGUGACAUGUGGAUCUGUCCUCAACCCUUUCUGCUUAACACUAUGUUUCCUAGAUGUUUUGAAGUUCAUGAUUAGAUUGUGCUAAAAUUUCAUUUUGUCAUCAACAGAUGGCAGUCUUGUACUCUUCUGUGGCCUUUAACCAAAAAUUACAUUUUUUUUACUUAUAAAUAUAUGCACACCAAAAAACAUCUAAUAGUAGAAUAAUACUACAGAAGCAGGGAGUUGCUACCACUUAACCAGUCAUGUGGUUUUGUUCCAUGUUCCUAUCUCACCUGCAGUGGCACAUUAAAUUCCCCCGGACAUUUAGAUUUGUCACUGCAGCAUUUAAUUUUAUAAAUUUUGCCCCCUCUUUAAAAUGCAAUAUCUCAAUCAUGUGUCAGUAUAAAAUUAUGGAACAAAAAGCCUCUGAAAGACCAAUUACCAGACUUCACGUACCCAUAUUUUCAUUUCUAUAGCCAUUAAGUUUAAGUUUGUAUAUAUAUAUUUUAAUUCCAUACUUUUGGCUUUAUUCUCAAAAUAUAUGCCACUGUCACCACUGACUUUCAUUUCUGUUCAGACUACGUGAUCUCAUGUAUGCCUGAGUCAUUCACAUUCAAUAUACACUGUCUUGUCGGGUGUCUGGUGUUUAGAAAUGAAACAUGAUCAUAGUAGUUUACUGACAAAUCUCUCUAGUGAAAACACACACUCCCAGCUUUGCUCACUGUGACACUUUUCACAUUUAUUUCACUAUCACUACCAUAUUCACUCUGAAAUAUCACUAUAUUCAUUCUCUUGUAACAGUUCAUAAAAACACCUUAUCACUUACACGCACCUUCUUGCUAGGACCUGCCAUAAUGUUUAGUUGAAAGAAUUCAAAUCCAGGACAGCUAUCAAGCAAUCAACAACUUCUGUCACACUCUGAAGUAGCUAGAACAUCUUGCAAGCACAAGGUACAAGUACACAUAUGCACUGCCGACUGGCAUUAUAUCUACAAUGGAGUAGUUAGCAGUAUGCGUAACAUCUGUAGACGUCAUGGCCACUAUGAUACACAGUACCGCACGACAUCUGUAGACAUCACAACCACCUGACUGGUGAAAUGCAGCUAUGAGAGCAGGCAGAAUGCCAUUUAUAGAAACCGUCAUGGGGUUAACCAUCCUUUGUUUCACAUCUCUACUCAAAAAGAUUACUUCAAAUUUAUGUUUGCAUGUGUGCACAAGCAUGUGGAUAAAAGCUACCAAUACCAAAUCGCAGUUUUUCAGUGCAGGGAUAAAGAUGCUCGCUGUGAGAUCAAGGUUGCACUGAAUGGUGUGGCAGGAGCUUCAGUAUGCCCUUGUGAAUCAUGGUUGCACCAUUACUCCAUACUUACAUGUCACUGCCCCUGAGGUGUUGGACAGAUAUCACAACCUGUCAGGGCUUCACUUCAUAUCUGUCACUAGGAAUACUUCUGAGAAAACUUGCAUUGAAGGAGGAAGUAUUGUUUUAAUUUCUGGAUUCACCUAAUUUCUAAACCUCAGAUAUUCUAAAUGGAUAAAACAGGGCUGAGGAAUUUUUUAGUGUAUCCCUUAUUUAUUAUAUAUAUACUUGUAUAUAUUACGUGACACACCUUUUUAUAUAUGUAUAUCUGUAAAAUCUGCCACACCUAUAAACUGUGUUCUGUGACUGUUAAAAUGUCAAUUUAUAAUUGACAUGAUGAUUUUGCUUCUAUGGACAAAGAUUGUUUCAUGUUUCUGUGGUCAUAUUUUGAACAUACAUCACUAGUUGGCACUGUAGACUAUACCAAUGCAUGCAUGAAUGUUUUCUCUGCCUCCUCCUGCCACCUGGAAGUCAUAAUUUGAAUUUCUUGAAGAAUGAAUGCCAUGUCACGUGUUAGUAACAUGCUUUUACAUUCAGCUGAACCAUGGCUCUCUUGAUUCAAGAAACCAGAUAUAAUCCCUUGUGUGAUGCAGAUGAAGAAUCUAGUAGUGAUAUGUUUAAGUGAAGAGCUUGAUAUUGACUAUGAUGAUGAAAUUAAUUUGGAAAUCGAAGGAGAAACUGCAAGUGAAGAACUGAGCACCGAAAUGGCGGAAAGUCAGAGAGAGAAAUAAGCGUGUUGGUGGGCAGGAAGACAUGACAAUGGGCAAAGAUGCAUCUGGGAAAAUGAAGCAAUCAUGCUAUCAAGAAGACAAGAAAGUACAUGGGGUGAUAAAACAUAUAUGGAAACAAUUUCAGAAAAAUUCUGUGCCAGGUAAAAACAUUGUAACAGAUUAAUCAACAGUUGGGUUCAAAUGCAAAAUAAUUUUCAAAACUUAUAAUCCCCCCCACAAAAAAACAAUGAAGUGGAGCAUCACAAAUAUUUGCAUUAGCUGAAAGUGACACUGGUAAUGUUCACAGUGUAAUUCCAAAUUACAGAAAAAUUACAGGUGACAUGUAAAUUACCAUACUCUGAAAAACCAUUCAUUCAUUUAUAGUUCUUUCCUUGAUGGACAGUCUAUGACUCAGUGUGUCUGGUACUGAAGACUACCACAACUUCACUGACAGGUAUUAUAGCAGCGUUGAGUUGGCCCAAGAAUUGGACAAUCAAAAUUGAGGAGUUGUUAGCCCCAAGCUGGAGGGCCACCCCUUGUCAGCUGUCUGUGACUGCUUAUUCAAUAUAUUCACAGCUUCCCUCCUAAACUGAAGGGCAUCUCCUCCAUCUACAACCUGAGGACACGCCAUGCCGGAUCCUAGCCCUUUUGAGGUUGAAAGUGCUAUU